CCUACGGGAUGCAGCCGUGAGGAAUAUUGGUCAAUGGGAGAGAUUCUGAACCAGCCAAGCCGCGUGCGGGAAGCCGGCCCUAUGGGUUGUACACCUCUUUUGUCGGAGAACAAAACCCGGGACGUGUCUCUGACUGCGUGUAUCCGAAGAAAAAGCAUCAGCUAACUCCGUGCCAGCAGCCGCGGUGAUACGGAGGAUGCGAGCGUUAUCCGGAUUUAUUGGGUUUAAAGGGUGCGUAGGCGGUCGGUUAAGUCAGCGGGAAAAGUGCGGGGCUCAACUCCGUCGAGCCGUUGAAACUGGGAGACUUGAGUGGGCGAGAAGUACGCGGAAUGCGCGGUGUAGCGGUGAAAUGCAUAGAGAUCGCGCAGAACUCCGAUUGCGAAGGCAGCGUACCGGCGCCAGACUGACGCUGAGGCACGAAAGCGUGGGGAUCGAACAGGAUUGGAUACCCGAGUAGUC
rnacentral:rRNA from 1 species